rnacentral:lncRNA from 1 species
GAAAAGAGACAAGCGUACAUUUGACAAUAACCACUAAUAAUAAAUAAACAAGUAAUUAACAAAUCGUUUCCUUUAGUCGUGAGCUUCCUAAUAAACAUCCACCCUUCACCCUCCCACCCACCUCCCGCUCACCUGGGAGGGGGGGGCGAAGGCAUCAGCUCCCCUUGAGCUUUUGUUCUGGCCAGCAGUUAACUAAUUUCUCUAAUCUGACUGUGGGUAAUCCAUUCAUCAAAUCUCGUGGAAUACCCUUU